GAAUUCUUAACUGUUUCUACAGGUAUAUACAUUCUUUGAUCUAGCUUUUCUUUUAUGAAAUUGUCUUUGAUAUAAUUUUUGUAAACUCAAAAUAAGUGAAGUUUCAACUAGGAUUUGUUUUGUUUUCAUAAGUUCUUUUUAGGCCAAAAUGUAUUUGAAAUUGGUAGCAAGGCUUUAGUUUAGAUUAACCUUUUGAUUUUCGUAAUAGUCCUGAGCUAUUGCACUUCUAGCAAAUUACUGAUGUGUAGGCAGCAAGCUGAUUUUAACUUCCAGACUCAUACGUAACUUCCAGUUCAUCUUCUUAUAUGUCUAAGUUUAUGCUUCUGUAGGUUGCAUGCGCUUUCACGGCCU
rnacentral:misc_RNA from 1 species